CCGCCGGCCGGCGGCGCCUCAGGGGCGGCAGCAGCACCACCGACACCGCCGCCGCCAUGCGUGAGGAGGCCUGGGCUGGCCGCCGGCUCCGCGCUGCGGCUGCUGUUGCCAUGAUGGUGGCGUCACGGGCGCAACCAUCGCAAGACGAUGCGGGGAAGGAGGGGGAAGGAAGGCGCCGCCCGCCCCGCCCCGCCCCGGCUGUGUGAGGGGAAAUGUCCGCCCGCGGCUCGGCGCUCGGCCGAGCGGGCUGAGGGCGAGGCUGCGGAGCCCCGAGCCGCCGAUGGUGCUGAGGGGUGAGGGGCUUGAGGGGCUGAGGGGCUGAGGCAGCGCCGCGGCGGGGCGCAGGGCGGGCCCGGCCGCCAUUUUGGACGCCGAGCCGCCUCGCUGCGGGAAGGUCUUGCCUUGGCCUUGCAUCAGAAAAACCUACCAGUGAACAUGCGUACGGGAAAACACUUAAGUAUUCAAGAAAAUGAUAUCAUCUGAAAUGUAAAAAUGAAUAAAGAAUUACACGUAUGUAACAAA